AGAGUUUGAUCAUGGCUCAGGAUGAACGCUAGCUACAGGCUUAACACAUGCAAGUCGAGGGGAAACGACAUCGAAAGCUUGCUUUUGAUGGGCGUCGACCGGCGCACGGGUGAGUAACGCGUACCCAACCUGCCCACCACUUGGGGAUAACCUUGCGAAAGUAAGACUAAUACCCGAUGACGUCUCUAGAAGACAUCUGAAAGAGAUUAAAGAUUUAUCGGUGAUGGAUGGGGAUGCGUCUGAUUAGCUUGUUGGCGGGGUAACGGCCACCAAGGCGACGAUCAGUAGGGGUUCUGAGAGGAAGGUCCCCCANAUUGGAACUGAGACACGGUCCAAACUCCUACGGGAGCA
rnacentral:rRNA from 1 species